rnacentral:rRNA from 1 species
CGGACCGGCGCACGGGUGAGCAACACGUAUGCAACCUGGCCGCCACAGGGGGAUAACCCGCGGAAACGCGGCCUAAUACCCCGUGACGCCACCGGAGGGCAUCCUCCGGUGGCCAAAGGAGCGAUCCGGUGGCGGAUGGGCAUGCGGCGCAUUAGCUAGACGGCGGGGUGACGGCCCACCGUGGCGACGAUGCGUAGGGGUUCUGAGAGGAAGGCCCCCCACACUGGGACUGAGACACGGCCCAGACUCCUACGGAAGGCAGCAG